CAAGUCGAACGGGUGUAGCAAUACAUCAGUGGCAAACGGGUGAGGAAUGUAGAGGAAUCUUCCCAGCAGUAAGGAAUAACCCUGGGAAACCAGAGCUAAUGCCAUAUAUUACCGAUUUAUCGGGAAAGAUUUAUCGCUGUUGGAUGAGCCUCUAUCGGAUUAGCUAGUUGGUAGGGUAAUGGCCUACCAAGGCAAUGAUCCGUAGCUGGUCUGAGAGGAUGAUCAGCCACACUGGGACUGAGACACGGCCCAGACUCC
rnacentral:rRNA from 1 species